CCUACGGGCGGCUGCAGUGGGGAAUCUUCCGCAAUGGACGAAAGUCUGACGGAGCAACGCCGCGUGAGUGAUGAAGGCUUUCGGGUCGUAAAACUCUGUUGUUAGGGAAGAACAAGUGCUAGUUGAAUAAGCUGGCACCUUGACGGUACCUAACCAGAAAGCCACGGCUAACUACGUGCCAGCAGCCGCGGUAAUACGUAGGUGGCAAGCGUUAUCCGGAAUUAUUGGGCGUAAAGCGCGCGCAGGUGGUUUCUUAAGUCUGAUGUGAAAGCCCACGGCUCAACCGUGGAGGGUCAUUGGAAACUGGGAGACUUGAGUGCAGAAGAGGAAAGUGGAAUUCCAUGUGUAGCGGUGAAAUGCGUAGAGAUAUGGAGGAACACCAGUGGCGAAGGCGACUUUCUGGUCUGUAACUGACACUGAGGCGCGAAAGCGUGGGGAGCAAACAGGAUUAGAUACCCCUGUAGUC
rnacentral:rRNA from 1 species